GUCCUUAGUGUGGCUGACAUUGAUUAGGUAAUUAGACUGCAUCUUACACUAUUCCAGAUGCUUUCCAGGCAUCCAUGUAUUUAACAUUCACAUCAACUUUGUGAUCUAAAUACUAUUAUUACUCCUACUUUGUUGCAGAGGAAAUAAAUCCUGGAUAUGUUAAAUACCUCCCUAAGGGACACAACCUAAAAACAUUGGAGCCAGUAUUCAAAUCAAGGCUACCGGGCUCCAGAGCUCACCUUCUAACCAUCACAUUUUACUGUUUCUCAUGAGCAAAGGCUUGGAUGAAGAAAUGGGAAUGAUUAUUCAGAGGCUUGAAAUAAAUGACCAUUCAACUAUUCCUAAAUUAGCCUGGAUAACAGAGUCCCAGCAUCACAGGUCAGGACUAAGAACUUUGGCUACUCAGCAGUUUUUCUGCCAGUCAUGGACCUGGGUUUAGCUUGAAUGAUAAUUGCCUUCUUUCCUUUCAACCCAAGCACAUUGUCAGCAUGGCAACUAUGGAUUUCAGCCUGACAGUGUCAUGCUGCUUGCAGAUGGCAGGAGAGGGCAGCAAUGCCAAAAUGAGACAGAGUGCAUUGCAGUAUGCUACAUCAUUGCCAUGGGCACUCAACAGAAUUGAAUUCACCUUCCUUGUCAAGAAAUCAUACCAAAGAGCAUAGCAAAGAGCAAAGCAAAGGCAUUGCUAUAUCUGAUGAAACUGGUCUGCCAGUAUGUGUUUCUCAUCAUUUCCUAACUGAAGCUCCAGAUUUAGUGAAACUGGAAAGAGCCAACCAGUGCUCUCUUUUCCCCAAGACUCCACAUAAAGCAUUUUUAUUAGAGAUAGUGAUAUUUAGUCAACCUAAUGAUGCCAUCAGUUUGGCCAGAUACCAAAAUCAAUGCCCUAGCUAUUUGUCCGGCAUCUGUGCUGCUGAAGACAGGGCUUUCUGUUGACUCCAUAAAUUAAAGAUCAAGUAGCAACAAGGAAGGCUGGAGAAGCUGAUUCCCAGGAAAACAAUGAAGCAAAGCACCUGAACAACACCUCAGAACAGAUAGUAGCCCCUGUGAAACUGGAGCGGUGACCUGGCAUCCUCCAUUGUGCCUUCUAUUACCCCUUUAGUUGAUGGAUUGAGGGGAGACUUCCAGGUUAGUGAGCGAGAACUUGGGGGAGUGGGAGAUGAGGGAGAGGGGCGGUGGCUAUUGAUCGACUGGAAUGCAGAUCUUUACGUAUUUUAAUAAUAUGCAUGCUUAUAUGAUAGCAAAAUGUUUGCAAUUCAGCCCUGACCUUAUUUUCUAUUUAAACAAAACAAAACAAAACAAAACAAAAACCUGUAUUUCUUAAGCACCUAGCUUAAAGUUUACUAGCAAAGGGAGAUAUCUAGUUUCUGGUCUCAAAACAUGAAUAUCUACCUAAAGAAAAGCAGCUAAAAUGUCUAGAGUGCUAAAUAAAUUUUAUAUUUAAGUAUAAAUUGUUUGGAGAAGAUUAUAAGUAGUACGUAAAUUAAAGAAGAGAUUCCUCAGUGGCCAAGAGUAAUUGAGGAAUAGAGAAUUUACUGUGAAGGCAUUGAAACUUGAAUUUGAGGGUUAGGCAGGAUAUAAGACAGGCAUGGAAAAGGAUGUAGGUAGAACAUUGCUCAAAUAAGAAGAACAGAUAAGCAAAGGAAAGGGCUGCCCAUUCCUCCCUUGAGUACAAGGGCAGAUUGUAGACAGGCCUGUAUAGGUGCUAAUGGCUCAUGUAUAUGCAAUGUUGACAUGUUAUGUUGAUGUCAGGGACAUUUUGACAAUGAUGAGUAGCAAAUCAAUUGUUUCUUAUUCUUUUUUUUCAAUUAUCAAGUAAUAUGUACAAUACAUUUGCUAGUUCUCAGUCUAUGUGUUAGAUUUCUUGCAGAUCCCAAGCCCCAUAGAAAAAGAUCCCCUGGGUCAAAAUAGCCUUCUUAAAAUGGCCACCGGAGUUCGACUCUGAAAAUCUGGACUCUUCAGCUAAAAUAGUUACACUUGAAAGGCUGAAGUUAGCAGUUCAGGCCUAAACUUAAUUUUUAAAAUCCACUCCUGAGUCAAGUGCACCUGUUGAGAAGGAUGGCACAAGAGGGAGAAGCUAUCUAUUUGUAUCCCUGUUUGUGUUUCUUUAGAAGGAACAGUAACUCAUGUGAGGCAAAAUCAAGCAAACGUCUUAAUUUUGCGAUCCAACACUCUAACUUGCAAUUACAGACUAAUCAGGUGUGUGUCCUCUGACAAGUGAUAGCUUAAUAGGCUAUAUUUUUGAGAUUAAAAAACAUACCAAAAUAUGGCAGAUAGAUAAAAAUAGGUGAAAGCAUAUAGAUUUGUAUUUGGUUUCUCAUAUCAUACCUAUGAUAACCAAUAUUAAAACAGGAGUUAUCUGCCCUUUAGAGUUCAUGUUCAUCCUUUCUAUAUUUUUAAUCUUUAUGCAAGAGAUGAGCCAAUCUUAUGAGUAAAGGUUACAUACCGAAACUGAGAAAAAUAAUAUUCUAAGUGCAAGUGUAUACUAUCAAAAUGAUGAAAUGUAAACAAAGACAUACUCAGAUAAUUUCUCCCUCACAAUUACAUGUCUACAGUGCUUUCUUGCUAGCCAUGUCUGAAUUUCAAGAAAGAUAUGCAAAGUAUUUCAUAAGUCAUGGGUACCCACCUACACAAAAGAGAUCCAACAUAAAAAGGUAUAUGACUAUACUGGUGCAAAACAACUGAUUAUUAGGUCUUUAUAUUUUCUCUCUAAAUAACAUGUAGCAAUGGUCACAGUCUACACACCAUACCACUUGUAACUUCUUUUUAUCUGGCUUAAUGAUAUCAUGUAUAAUCCUUAGGAAAUAAAAUAAUUAUUGUCUCUGAGGAUUAAUUUAGAAAAUCAAA